UCGAAAAAUGGUGUGGCGUAAAGUAAAUGCAGAAUUAAACAUUUCAAAUUUAAGACCGACAGUGAAACACGGUGGUGGGAGUGUAAUAGUAUGGGGUUGUAUCUCGUCUGUAGGUGUAGGUGAUCUAGUUUUUAUCGAUGGUAUUAUGGACAAAAUUAAGUAUUUAGACAUUUUUAAAAAAAUUUAAUUACAGGUGCUAUAAAUAUGAUGACGGAUGACUAAUAAUAGUUUUAUUAGCAGCAUAAUCGAAAACGAAAAUAUCUUAUGAGUUUUUUAUUAUCAGUUUAUUAAUAGGUAAACCUACAAUUUUUUGUACUCAUCUUUUAGUGGAUGCUGAGACGAAUUCGGCAAGCAUCAUAACAUAUAGUUUUUUCUGAAUCUAAAAAGACUGAAGAAACCUUUUACAAGUAGCGGUCUUCAGGGUUGACGCACACUUUUUGAUGAGGUUUGGUACGGUAAUAUAAAGCUUGUAAAGUUAAAUCCAACGAUACCCGGUUUGGGGGCAAACGGCUUAUAGAUUUUGAGAUAAUGUUAAAGUUAUUAAUAAAAGGCCAGAAAGAUGCGCUGGAUCACAACGCGAUGGUUCAAGUAAGCCGGAUGGAACCUCACAGCUUUCCCUACUUCCUAUUAUUUCUAGUGUACUGUGUUCGGCUCCGACCGAUGAUACCCGAACUGUGCACCGAUUCACACCGUGGAGACGCUCGCUUAUUCAGUUAGAACUGAACCGUUCUACGUGGGGAUGUCGGUUUUGAACAGAUAUUGCAUCACACGUGUACACAUGUAGUUAAUACACAGGAGAACUGUCAGGAGAUGUCCAAGAAGCAAUCAUUCAAGAGAGAAGAGAUAAGAUGUGAUAAUAUAAGAGAUAUUUUAAAAAGUUUACUAAUAUUCAUCGCGAUCUUAUAAUUUCACUAACAAGGUCGUCAAUAUCUACUUCAAGUAAAGAACUGUUAUUAGAAGCUAAAGGAUUUCUUGCUAAAAAAGCAGAAUUGGUUUCUUGAAGGUGGGGUACUUUUUUUAUUUUAGCCAAGAAUUUAAUCGCAUCUAAGCUACCAGAAUCAGCAGUAUGCAAAACUGUUCUGUCAUUAUUGUAUUUAGUGUAUAACUGAUGGUUAUCCAGCUGUGUGUGGCCAAAGGUUUGUAAGUUUUGGUGAUAAGGAGAUGUAUGGACUA